GGAGUAAAACAGCAAACGUCUUGUCUAUCGCGCAGAUCGUUUGAAGAGAAAACUCCUAGAGCAUUUAGUAUAACUUGCUAUUCGCUUUACACUGGCCACGACGCUUCAACCAGAGCGGGCCAGUGAAAAAUGGUCAAGCACAAAU
rnacentral:snoRNA from 1 species